rnacentral:tRNA from 1 species
GCCCCCGUAGCUCAGGUGGAUAGAGCACAGGAUUCCUAAUCCUGGGGUCACCAGUUCGAAUCUGGUCGGGGGUA